rnacentral:rRNA from 1 species
GACGAACGCUGGCGGCGUGCUUAACACAUGCAAGUCGAACGGGCCCGCCCCUGUUUUUGGGGGUGGGUUGAGUGGCGAACGGGUGAGUAUCACGUGAGUAACCUGCCCCCUGCUCCUGGAUAACUGCUUGAAAGGGCGGCUAAUACGGGGUGUGCCGGCUGGUCCGCAUGGGCCUGGUCGGGAUAGUUUCAUCUUCGGGUGUUUCGGUGGGGGAUGGGCUCGCGGCCUAUCAGCUUGUUGGUGGGGUGAUGGCCCACCAAGGCGGUGACGGGUAGCCGGCCUGAGAGGGUGGGCGGCCACACUGGGACUGGGACACGGCCCAGACUCCUGCGGGAGGCAGCAGUGGGGGGUAUUGCACAAUGGGCGGAAGCCUGAUGCAGCGACGUCGCGUGAGGGAUGGAGGCCUUCGGGUUGUGAACCUCUUUCUCCGGUGGUGAAGGCCCUGUCCGUUGCGGCGGGGUUGACGGUAGCCGGGGAUGAAGCGCCGGCUAACUACGUG